rnacentral:rRNA from 1 species
AUUGAACGCUGGCGGCAGGCCUAACACAUGCAAGUCGAGCGGAUGAAGGGAGCUUGCUCCUGGAUUCAGCGGCGGACGGGUGAGUAAUGCCUAGGAAUCUGCCUGGUAGUGGGGGAUAACGUCCGGAAACGGGCGCUAAUACCGCAUACGUCCUGAGGGAGAAAGUGGGGGAUCUUCGGACCUCACGCUAUCAGAUGAGCCUAGGUCGGAUUAGCUAGUUGGUGGGGUAAAGGCCUACCAAGGCGACGAUCCGUAACUGGUCUGAGAGGAUGAUCAGUCACAGGGGAAAGGAGAGACGGUGAAGAGGCAUAAGGGAGGGAGCAGGGGGGAAGAGGGGACAGUGGGGGAAAGUAGGAGACAGCAAGGGAGAGGGUGGGAAGAAGGUGUUCGGAUUGUAAAGAAGGUUAAGGUGGGAGAAAGGGAAGUAAGUGAAUACCUUGAGGGGGGGACGGUAAGAAGAGAAGAAGAAACGGCUAACGAAGGG